CUCCUGAGGCAAAGCCCAACACACCUGUCUUUUGUCCACUUCUCCAGCAAAUUAGAUUUGUCUCUGGGAAUGUGUUUGUAACAUACCAACCUACUGCAGACCAGCAGAGGGAGCUCCCAUGUUGAAUUUGUUUGUUAGCUAUUUUCCCCCCUUUCACAAAAACUAUUUCUUGACGACCUUUGAGAGAUUUCAAUAAAAAUUUUAAUCAGAGCAAAAAUGAACUCAAGUAGACUGCAGCGUUUUGUUUUCAUGGUGAUGCAAUUUUGGAGCAAAGGUGUUACUCUCUGACUGAGGUUUUGGGAGAAUUGGGCCUGUGACACCAAGUCUAUUUUACAUAGAAGGACUCAGAACGAGCUUCCUGGAGAGGCCAGGUCCUGGAGCCGAGGCCACACUGCUGCUGCUUGUCUCUCCCUGGGCUCCCAGAAGAGCCACCAAGAGCUGCAUGUUGGAAGCGUCUCAUCCACCAGGAGACCUCACUUCAGCAGGGAUGCUGCGUCUAGCUAGGGGAGCCCCUGUGAAACGUGUGGGUGCAGUGUGCAGUCUGCCCACCGGGAUCCACAGGAAGGAAGACCAGGAGACAAAGUGUCAUUGAAAAGAAGUUGAGUCACAUUUCUAGCUCUGCCCCGGCUUCAGCUGUGGUCUGGUACCCCUUCAGAUUUCCCAGCUCUAAACUCUGUGAAGGUCAGACUGUGAGGAGAAGCCACCCCUUGAGCGCUCCGUCUCCUGAUAGUGCCAGCCUGGCCUGGUUUCCUGUUUGAUGCGCUGGCUCCCUCCCUCCGAGGCUACUUCUCAGGGCUGGAAGUCCCGUCAGUUCUGCUGAAUACUAUGUCCCAGGUGUGUGAUGGCGGCUGCAAUCUGUCUUGUGGGUAUUAAUGCAAUCUUCAGUGGUGGCUACUGUUCUCUAGCUGUUCUACAAAACUGGAGCAUGCUGGCUUGAAAAACCCUUGCCCAGUUUUGAUCCCUUCAAGACUUUGUCACAGCCUCUAUCACACAUCUGUUUUUCUCG
rnacentral:lncRNA from 1 species